GCUCGAGUGGCGAACGGGUGAGUAACACGUGGGUGAUCUGCCCUGCACUUUGGGAUAAGCCUGGGAAACUGGGUCUAAUACCGAAUAUGAUCAUCGGCUUCAUGGUCGGUGGUGGAAAGCUUUUGCGGUGUGGGAUGGGCCCGCGGCCUAUCAGCUUGUUGGUGGGGUAAUGGCCUACCAAGGCGACGACGGGUAGCCGGCCUGAGAGGGUGACCGGCCACACUGGGACUGAGAUACGGCCCAGACUCCUACGGGAGGCAGCAGUGGGGAAUAUUGCACAAUGGGCGCAAGCCUGAUGCAGCGACGCCGCGUGAGGGAUGACGGCCUUCGGGUUGUAAACCUCUUUCAGCACAGACGAAGCGCAAGUGACGGUAUGUGCAGAAGAAGGACCGGCCAACUACGUGCCAGCAGCCGCGGUAAUACGUAGGGUCCGAGCGUUGUCCGGAAUUACUG
rnacentral:rRNA from 1 species